CAAUAGCGUAUAUUUAAGUUGCUGCAGUUAAAAAGCUCGUAGUUGGAUUUCGGGUGGGAAUGGCCGGUCCGCCGUUUCGGUGUGCACUUGCUACGCCCACCUUGCUGCCGGGGACGUGCUCUUGAGUUCACGCUCGGGACACGGAGUCGGCGAGGUUACUUUGAGUAAAUUAGAGUGUUCAAAGCAGGCCUACGCUCUGAAUACAUUAGCAUGGAAUAACACGAUAGGACUCUGGCCUAUCUUGUUGGUCUGUAGGACCGGAGUAAUGAUUAAGAGGGACAGUCGGGGGCAUUCGUAUUUCAUUGUCAGAGGUGAAAUUCUUGGAUUUAUGAAAGACGAACUACUGCGAAAGCAUUUGCCAAGGAUGUUCUCAUUAA
rnacentral:rRNA from 1 species